rnacentral:rRNA from 1 species
GACGAACGCUGGCGGCGUGCUUAACACAUGCAAGUCGAACCGAAAGGCCCUGCUUUUGUGGGGUGCUCGAGUGGCGAACGGGUGAGUAACACGUGAGUAACCUGCCCUUGACUUUGGGAUAACUUCAGGAAACUGGGGCUAAUACCGGAUAGGAGCUCCUGCUGCAUGGUGGGGGUUGGAAAGUUUCGGCGGUUGGGGAUGGACUCGCGGCUUAUCAGCUUGUUGGUGGGGUAGUGGCUUACCAAGGCUUUGACGGGUAGCCGGCCUGAGAGGGUGACCGGCCACAUUGGGACUGAGAUACGGCCCAGACUCCUACGGGAGGCAGCAGUGGGGAAUAGUGCACAAUGGGCGGAAGCCUGAUGCAGCAACGCCGCGUGCGGGAUGACGGCCUUCGGGUUGUAACCCGCUUUCGCCUGUGACGAAGCGUGAGUGACGGUAAUGUGUAAAGAAGCACCGGCUAACUACGUG